rnacentral:lncRNA from 1 species
AGCUGCCAACCCUGCAUUCCAACAUGCAAUGGGAAGUUUAUUCUCUGCCAAGGAUAAAAGGGAGGAUUACUAGUGGAGUCCAGGUACAAUUGAUAGAUACUAUACUGAAUAACAAAGAAUUAAGUCAAAGUUUAUUUAUAAAAUGUUGAGACCCUCAACCUAUCUUCCUUCAUAUAUAUUGUAGCUUGUUUAUUGGACUAGGAAGAGAUUGGUUGAAUCUUCUUUGGCAAAUCUGACAAGCUCAAGAGAAGAGACCUGAAAAAGUCAUAGGUUGUAACCCAAGGAAACAAAUCAGUCAUUAUCAUCCUACAUUGAAGAGCACUGAACAAUGAUUUGAUCUCACUCUCUUCCCUCUGUUUGAUCUCGCUCUAGGUAUUCUGUGGGCCAAAUGCAAUUGGAAAACAAAGGGCAAGGAACCUGUUUAAUAGAGCACCCUCCCAGGGUGAAGAGAACAAAGAGGAAGGAUAAAGUAAAGUUGAAAGGGACAGUGGAAGCUACUCUCCCCAAAAGGCAGAACCUCGAGGAGGGCCAACAAGUGGGGGUGUGCUUCUGGAGACUGGCAAGAAAACACUGGGAAGAAGUCAAACAAAAACUGAGGCAGGGAAGAAUGUGGGUUGAUUUUGAAGCCAUCCCUGUUGGGACUGAGUAAGAUGGACAAUAAUCUAUUAGGUCUAUAAGUUAGGGGGAAAAAAUCAACUCUGAAUUACAGAAACCUAUUUUUAGAGUUGGAGGCUUUUUGAGUUGUUCAUUGAAAUUACGAUACCACCAUUUUAUUUAAUCAAGAUUUGGGUAUUUUAAUAAAAAUAUAAAGAGUAGCUAUACACCUCCAGGAUUCUACCAUGGGAUGACAGAUUUAUAUAGUAAGAAAUAAAUAAAAUUUUUUAAAUGUUGAACUCUUUCUCCUUAACUGGUAAAAUGAAUGGUGGUGGAUAAAUUAUUUCUUAGCCUCUUAAAUUUGUGAUGAGGAUUAAAUCAGAAAAUACAUGUGUAGCACAAUUAUUAUUUUUGCCUACCAAACACCCCUUCCAUAUUCCCACCACAUCUUUUGAGAACUGACUUUUUCCUCAGAAUUAUCCUAUGACUGAUUGGUCCAAGGGUGAAAACCUGACCUAAAUUCUCUGGGGAUAUGGAGACCAGACUUGCUGUCCUUUUGAAUGGAGAAGAUAUGAUUUCUUAAGCUAUUGGCUGAAAACAUUUUUUUCCUACCAUGUAGACUGGAAAACAGAAACUGGUCCAUAGUAGGAGUGAAAAAAGCAGAUAUGCACAGAUGAGAAAGAAAGUCUCAAUGCCAUGGAGAUUCUGAUCACUGUUGUUUUUAAGGGUUGGCUAGAAUCCUGUUCUUGCAUUCUAUGAGACACUCUGAUAUGCUAGUAAUAAACUAUCCGCUAAGUUUUAAUUAAUUCAAGCUGAUUUUCUGUUUCUUAAAACUAAGAAUCAUAGUAUUUAUUGGUACCUAAUAAAUAGAAGCUAUUACUUUCGAAGAAAUGAAAAUAGAAACAGGUUGAACAAAAAUUGCCCUGA